UACGUAGGGUGCAAGCGUUACUCGGAAUUACUGGGCGUAAAGCGUGCGCAGGCGGUUUUGUAAGACAGAGGUGAAAUCCCCGGGCUUAACCUGGGAACUGCCUUUGUGACUGCAAGGCUUGAGUGCGGCAGAGGGGGAUGGAAUUCCGCGUGUAGCAGUGAAAUGCGUAGAUAUGCGGAGGAACACCGAUGGCGAAGGCAAUCCCCUGGGCCUGCACUGACGCUCAUGCACGAAAGCGUGGGGAGCAAACAGG
rnacentral:rRNA from 1 species